CAAAAAAAAGUUACUAGUACAACAACCAAACUAAAGUUCAGCCAAAAAGAAAAAAAAAAACCCAGACACCCGUGAGCAAACUUCUCUUCAAAAGAAAAAAAAUAAAACCCAUACACCCAUAAAAAAAAAAACCGAGAUACCCAGCAGCAAACAUGAAGAAGAUGAAAGAGACAAAGGAAGAGAAAACAAAAAACGAACCUUCAAUGAACACACCAAGUUUAUUGCCAACACCAGUUGAUGAGGUAUUACAUUUGAGCUAGAUGAAGAGAUGGCUGCAAAUGAUGAUGACCGAGAAGCAUUACAGGACAUAAUAAACAACACCAAGAUGACCGAGAAGCAUUAGAGAUAUAUAAUACCAACUAUUUCACCAUCAAGAGUUGAUCCAUUGAUAGGAGAUGAGAAGUCUUAUGAAAUUCUUUGCAAAGCAUUUGAUUGUGAAGCUGAAGCUAUCUUCGAGGUGACAUUUUAUCCUUAGUACAUGAAGUAUUUGUAAAUUAGUUGCAACCUUAUAACUAAGGUUGUCACGUAGAUAUAGAAAUUUAAAAUAUGGAAUAAGAUGCAUGUGUGAUAUCAUGCAGGUAUCUUGACAUAAAUAUUGGAGCUUGAAAUUUGAUAUAUUAGUACAAUCACAUGAAAAGAAGUAACUAAUUGUUUGAUCUAAGGUUUCAUAUUUGAUUUGCAUUAUUGGUGUGCAGUUAAACAUCAAUGCUAAACAAGUGAAGAAAUUGGUACUUAUUUCUUGGACAUUUUUCCUCCAUAUAAGAACCUGAAUAAGUUCUUAGUAAAUUUUUAGAAAAAAAUUAUUUCCUAUAAUCAUUAAAGCAUGUUGAGGAAGAGAGAAAAGA